GGAGAGGUGUCCGAGUGGCUUAAGGAGCACGCCUGGAAAGCGUGUGUAGGUUCAUGCCUACCGCGGGUUCGAAUCCCGCCCUCUCCG